UGUUUUAUACUAGAGCUAUUGAUUUUGAAAAAAUCAUUAAGGCACGAUCUGGUUUCCCAUAAAACCAGCCAGCAAGCGAUACAGAAAUAAUGUUUUGGGAUCAGCACAUACCACUGUUUGGAUUUUUCAUCACAUUUCUUUCUGCUAAAACAACAACAAACAAAGCUGCGGCUUAAAAUUGCGGAUGUACCGGUGGGAAAAUAUUUAUCAGUAUUUUCGAAGAUUGAAAAAUAUAUUAAUAUCUGUCUGCUACAGUCAUGGCAAAGAAGAAAACCAAGCUAUCCCCUCUCCCCACCAACCAUUUUCCAGUUAAGCUUGCAUGACUGUAACAAGAUCUCAUGUUAUCUUACAAAGCACGUGCCUUCCACAACAAUAUCGCUCGUUCAGACUGAUUUCAUGGACCGAGCUCAAUAUUCUGAAAGGUGUGGAGAUGUGUUUAACAGUCUUACUGCUCGCUUCCCGCGCGGUAAUGAAUAGUAUAUAUAUAUAAGGCGGAACAACUCCCUAAUAGAGGGCACAACAUCUCGUUUCAUCGGUCCAGCUCUGCAUUACAACUGCUGACUAAAAGCUGUUAGAGAAAACGCCAUUAUCUUCCAGACCUUCGUCGUGAACACGGAACAUCUGACAUUUACACAAUAAUUUUGAGCAGGACAGGAAGGCAUGGAGGACAACAUGUCUCGUCUGCGCCUCGUUUUGGUGCUACUCGUCACGUGGGCGGUGUUCGCGGUGGCUCAGACGAGCGAGUACGUGACUCACCCCACACCACUGGCCUUCAACUGCACAGUGGGAUUAAAGGACGGCGACCUGUUCUUCCAUGCACACCCGAACGACUCCACCAAGUACAUCCAGUGCGACCAGUACGGAAACGCUUUCAUCAAGAGCUGCCCGAGAGGGAAGGUGUGGAACCAGUCUUUCCUCACCUGCAUCCCUGGUCAAGAUAAUAGGCUCUAGUGAACACCUGAUUUCGGCAAAGUUCAACUCAGAAAGGGCUGUUCAAUGCUGGUAUAUAUAAAUAUUGGGCAACAAUUUGGACAGUCCAUCAUGAUCGUGCUGGAGAAUUGCUGACACUGUUAUUUUCCCAAAUAAAUCAUCACUUGGCUUUGUGUGUAGACCCAAAAGGGUCUGCUAAUAAAAUCUUUGAAGCCAC